rnacentral:rRNA from 1 species
UACGGGGGGAGCAAGCGUUGUUCGGAUUUACUGGGCGUAAAGCGCGUGUAGGCGGCUCGGCAAGUCGGAUGUGAAAGCCCUGGGCUCAACCUAGGAAGUGCAUUCGAAACUGCAGAGCUUGAGUUCUGGAGAGGAAGGCGGAAUUCUCGGUGUAGAGGUGAAAUUCGUAGAUAUCGAGAGGAACACCUGUGGCGAAGGCGGCCUUCUGGAGCAGUGACUGACGCUGAGACGCGAAAGCGUGGGGAGCAAACAGG